rnacentral:tRNA from 1 species
GGAGGCGUCGCAUAGCCAGGUCUAGUGCGCUUCACUGCUAAUGAAGUUUGGGUUAACCCCCAUCGAGGGUUCGAAUCCCUCCGCCUCCG